rnacentral:lncRNA from 1 species
CCAAUUUUAACAUAACUCAAAAAUCCCCAAAUUAACAUAGCUCAAAGAACAUAUUAGUAAAAAUAAACUAAGGAAAAACAUACAAAGGGCUUUUCCUAAACUUGAUUCAACCCAUCAGAUUCAACCCAUACAGCACGAUUCCCAUCUGAUUUUCUUCAUAAGAAGUUCACCAUCUACUUUAAAAAACACCAUUCUGAUUCAGAAGAAGUUCACCCUAUUUGCUCUUUAUGUGUUUCUUUGAGAGAUCCGUGGUUACCCCACACCCCUUCUCUCUCUCUAUUUCUUUCUCUGCAUCCACCUCUCUCUCUCCCUCUGCAUUUCUUUCUCCUAUGCCAUCUCUCUCUCUCUUUCUGUCAAAGGAAAU